UCUAAUGCCUGUGGCAUUUGAACUAUGUCUUCUUUGAUCUACUUACUCCCUCCAUCUACACUUUUGGGAGUUAUAUAUUCUAUUUCUACCAAGAGUCUCAACACUGAUGACUUCAUUUUUCUCCCAGGUGGAUUUGAGGAGUUCUGCACGUAAGAAGAAGUGUUGAUUCCACAUGAUGUCAGGAGGAAAAAUGAUCAUGGGGGUGGUAAACACUCACCCCUAUU